AUUGAACGCUGGCGGCAUGCUUUACACAUGCAAGUCGAACGGUAACAGACCGCAAGGUGCUGACGAGUGGCGAACGGGGGAGUAAUGCAUCGGAACGUGCCCAGACGUGGGUGUUAACUACGCGAAAGGUUGGCUAAUACAGCCUAAGAUCGCUGGCGGAAAGCGGGGGACCGUAGGGGAUCGCGGGAUUGUGCGCGCCUGUGUCAGCUGAUGUCGGAUUAGGUAGUUGGUGGGGUAAAGGCCCACCAAGCCAACGAUCCGUAGCUGGUCUGAGAGGACGACCAGCCACACUGGGACUGAGACACGGCCCAGACUCCUACGGGAGGCAGCAGUGGGGAAUUUUGGACAAAGGGCGCAAGCCUGAUCCAGCAAUGCCGCGUGCAGGAAGAAGGCCUUCGGGUUGUAAACUGCUUUUGUACGGAACGAAACGGCUCUGGUUAAUACCCGGGGCUAAUGACGGUACCGUAAGAAUAAGCACCGGCUAACUACGUG
rnacentral:rRNA from 1 species